UUGUAGUCCUGUAAUAUUAUGUUGUCAUUUCUAUGUUAUAUUUAACAUUGCCAUUAAAGUGCGAGGUUUGGCAUGCCACAAAACCAGGUUCAACCCACCAUUUUUUCCUUUAAAAAUGUCCUGUACCAAGUCAGGAAUAUGGCCAUUGUUAUAUUAUAGUUCGUUUCUGUGUGUGUUACAGUUUAACGUUGCGUCGUUUGUUUUCUCUUAUUUUUGAGUGUAAAUUGACAUUGCGAUAAGACGUAUCACGGUACUUGUCUAUCCCAAAUUCAUGUAUUUGGUUUUGAUGUUAUAUUUGUUAUUUUCGUGGGAUUUUGUCUGAUGCUUGGUCCGUUUCUGUGUGUGUUAGUUACAUUGUAGUGUUGUGUCGUUGUUCUCCUCUUAUAUUUAUGCGUUUCCGUCAGUUUUAGUUUGUUACCCCGAUUUUGUUUUUUGUCCAUGGAUUUAUGAGUUUGAACAGCGGUAUACUACUGUUGCCUUUAUUUAUAACAUGUCAAAAGGAAACAGUUAAACUCAUC
rnacentral:lncRNA from 1 species